rnacentral:rRNA from 1 species
AACGAACGCUGGCGGCAUGCCUAACACAUGCAAGUCGAACGAAGCCUUCGGGCUUAGUGGCGCACGGGUGCGUAACGCGUGGGAAUCUGCCCUCAGGUACGGAAUAACUCAGGGAAACUUGAGCUAAUACCGUAUGAUGUCUUCGGACCAAAGAUUUAUCGCCUGGGGAUGAGCCCGCGUCGGAUUAGCUAGUUGGUGGGGUAAAGGCCUACCAAGGCGACGAUCCGUAGCUGGUCUGAGAGGAUGAUCAGCCACACUGGGACUGAGACACGGCCCAGACUCCUACGGGAGGCAGCAGUGGGGAAUAUUGGACAAUGGGCGAAAGCCUGAUCCAGCAAUGCCGCGUGAGUGAAGAAGGCCUUCGGGUUGUAAAGCUCUUUUACCCGGGAAGAUAAUGACUGUACCGGGAGAAUAAGCCCCGGCUAACUCCGUGCCAGCCGCCGCAGUAACAC